AAUAUUGCACAUUGGGCUCCAGCCUGCUGCCGCAACGCCGCGUGAGUGAUGACCGCCUUCGCGUCGUAAAGCUCUUCGACUAUGGCUGAUCCUGCCCGUACCUGAACAACAAGCAACGGCUAACUACGUGCCAGCAGCCGCGGUAAUACGUAGGUGGCGAGCGUUGUCCGGAAUUACUGGGCGUAAAGGAUGCGUAGGUGGAUACUUAAGUGGGAUGUGAAAUCCCCGGGCUCAACCCGGGAACUGCAUUCCAAACUGGGUAUCUAGAGUGCAGGAGAGGAAAGCGGAAUUCCUAGUGUAGCGGUGAAAUGCGUAGAUAUUAGGAGGAACACCAGUGGCGAAGGCGGCUUUCUGGACUGUAACUGACACUGAGGCAUGAAAGCGUGGGUAGCAAACAGG
rnacentral:rRNA from 1 species